ACAAAUAUCUCAAUUAUCAGAAUACCCAAAUAGUCCUUUUCACGGCAUGGGCACCUUUCAGAAGGAUUGCUACUAUGUUGAUAUUGGCUGCAAUAACAUGGAAACCAUGGCCCUGGCAACUCUGUCAGUCCCUGCAGGAGAAUUUCAGAAUCCACUCUGCGAUCCCCACGUGGCGGAAAGCAAUUGGGUUGGAUGUGAUUUUGGAGGUAACAUAUGGAGCAUGGAUGAAUUUAUGGCAAUUUAGGAGCUUACAAGAAUUGUUAAUUAUAGGAUUAAUUGUGUGAUUUUGGGACAAACAAUUGCUAAUUUUCCUACCCAAUAAUUUACAGCAACUGUUAAUUCCAUGUCUGUCUAUAAGCUUUUGUUUGAAAUCAAUCCUAUUACAAUAGCUAAAUUGGACCUAUUGAUAACAAGGGGGUGAUAAUAAUAUUAAUUUUGGAGUAAUUAAAGAUAAUUUUCUGAAUUAUGUUUGUAAUUCUCUUUCUUGAAAUUGUCAGAGAAGUGGAAUGGUGGAGAAGUUCUGGGGCGC
rnacentral:misc_RNA from 1 species